GCCGGAGUGAUGGAACUGGUAGACGUGCCAGACUCAAAAUCUGGUGAGGCUCACACCUCGUGUCGGUUCGACCCCGACCUUCGGCA
rnacentral:tRNA from 1 species